UACAACGCACUACCUGUUCAUAGUAGUCGUUGCUGUCAACAGCACACUGCUCACCAUCAACGCAGGGGACUACAUCUUCUACACAGACUGGGCGUGGACGUCCUUCGUUGUGUUCUCGGUGUCGCCGUCGACGAUGCAUGAUGUAGUCGCAAUAUACUACCUGUUAUUCACAUGUUUUCCAGUCCCCGCACCCUUUUCCUCCACUUCCAUCACCAUCAACACCUUGUUGCCAAAGGGCUCAGGAUUGCUACAUGGAUCCCCUGACGCCUCGUUCGGUCGACAAGACGCAACAAGCAGCCUGCCAUACUGAUUGGCGGUACGCUGGUUGGCCUAUCCUUCCCGCUGUUCAACAUGGUCAACCUGUUGCUUGUAAGGGACCCGCUCGAGGUGGCCUUCAAGUAUCCGAGACCGACUCUGCCCGCGUACAUGACGCCUAUAGAGCCUCAGGUAGGGAAGUUCUACAACUCGCCUGUCGCCCUGGGUUCAGGUGCCGGUGCAGUGCUAACGGUACCCAUCGCUGCGUUGGGUGCAAAACUAAACACGUGG
rnacentral:rRNA from 1 species